rnacentral:rRNA from 1 species
GAGCGCAACUGACGCUGAAGCUCGAAAGUGCGGGUAUCGAACAGGAUUAGAUACCCUGGUAGUCCGCACGGUAAACGAUGGAUGCCCGCUCUUCGGUCAUUAGACCGUGAGGCCAAGUGAAAACAUUAAGCAUCCCACCUGGGGAGUACGCCGGCAACGGUGAAACUCAAAGGAAUUGACGGGGGCCCGCACAAGCGGAGGAACAUGUGGUUUAAUUCGAUGAUACGCGAGGAACCCUACCCGGGCUUGAAUUGCUGGUGAACGAUACAGAGAUGUUGAGGUCCUUCGGGACACCAGUGAAGGUGCUGCAUGGUUGUCGUCAGCUCGUGCCGUGAGGUGUCGGCUCAAGUGCCAUAACGAGCGCAACCCCUUUCUUCAGUUGCCAUCAGACUAUGCUGGGCACUCUGGAGAUACUGCCACCGCAAGGUGUGAGGAAGGUGGGGAUGACGUCAAAUCAGCACGGCCCUUACGUCCGGGGCUACACACGUGUUACAAUGGGGGGUACAGAAAGCCGGCUGCCCGCAAGGUCAGUCCAAUCAAGAAAGCCUCCCUCAGUUCGGACUGGGGUCUGCAACCCGACCCCACGAAGCUGGAUUCGCUA